ACAGGAGCCAGGGGUCCAGGAGACAUGAUCGAAUGCCUACCAUCCCAUGUAGAUGGAAGUAACCACCAUCUGGUUUCACCAGGGUUCAAGACCUCAGCUCAACUAGAGAUCAAGCUGUCUGCACAUAGCCCAUUGCCACACAAUGGGGAAAGGAAGUAAAUUGAUGAGCUUACUCCAGAUGAGUCUCCAUUCAAAAUCAAGAAAUAGCCCACUCUCUAUGAUGUAGAACUAUCUGGAAGAGCUCAAUUCUGGACUUGCCAAUAUGAUGUUCUACCUGCUGCUUUGAUAAAUUGGAUUCCUCAAGCUAUGCCUAAUUUUUGGGUGUGGGCCUCUACAUGUGUUUCCAUCUGUUGCUGGGUGAAGCAGAGACCGAUGCCAUGACAAGGAUCCUAUAUGUGACACUGUUAAUUAUAUUCUGCUAUACUUGCAGUCAGGAGCAUAGCCUGACAUCAGAACAUUCCUAAGGAAGUUAUGUGUCCUUAGCAACCUUAUGAGACUAGGUAGGAUGAAUCAGAAUUUAUGAAGCACAGAGAAGAAACUUUCACCUCUAGAGCUUCAGGUGGGAAAAGUUUUG
rnacentral:lncRNA from 1 species